rnacentral:rRNA from 1 species
UACGUAGGGUGCAAGCGUUGUCCGGAAUUAUUGGGCGUAAAGAGCUCGUAGGCGGUUUGUCGCGUCUGCUGUGAAAACCCGGGGCUCAACCCCGGGCCUGCAGUCGAUACGGGCAGACUGGAGUCCGGCAGGGGAGACUGGAAUUCCCGGUGUAGCGGUGAAAUGCGUAGAGAUCGGGAGGAACACCAGUGGCGAAGGCGGUGGCCUGGACCGAUGCUGACGCUGAGGCGCGAAAGCGUGGGGAGCGAUCCGG